GACAGAGGGGGCAAGCGUUGCUCGGAAUUACUGGGCGUAAAGCGCGCGCAGGCGGUCGCGUAAGUCUGCUGUGAAAUCUCCCUGGCUCAACCGGGAGGGGGCGGCGGAGACUGCGGGACUGGAGGGACCUAGAGGCCGGUGGAAUUCCCGGUGUAGUGGUGAAAUGCGCAGAUAUCAGGAGGAACACCGGUGGCGAAGGCGGGUCUCUGGGCCGAUAUUGACGCUGAGGAGCGAAAGCGUGGGUAGCAAACAGG
rnacentral:rRNA from 1 species